GACGAACGCUGGCGGCGUGCUUAACACAUGCAAGUCGAACGGAAAGGCCCCUUUGGGGGUACUCGAGUGGCGAACGGGUGAGUAACACGUGAGUAACCUGCCCUUGACUUCGGGAUAACUUCAGGAAACUGGGGCUAAUACCGGAUAGGAAUCCUUGCUGCAUGGUGGGGGUUGGAAAGCUUCGGCGGUUUUGGAUGGACUCGCGGCUUAUCAGCUUGUUGGUGGGGUAGUGGCUUACCAAGGCUUUGACGGGUAGCCGGCCUGAGAGGGCGACCGGCCACAUUGGGACCGAGGGAAGGCAGAGGCGCGGAAGGGAGGAAGCAGGGGGGAAGCUUGAACCAUGGGCGGAAGGCUGAUGAAGAAACGCCGCGGGCGGGAUGACGGUCUUCGGGUGGUAAAACGCUUUAAGCAGGGGAGCAGCUUGUGGUGACGGUACCUGCAGAAGAAGCACCGGCUAACUACGUG
rnacentral:rRNA from 1 species